AGGACGAACGCUGGCGGCGUGCUUAACACAUGCAAGUCGUGGGCACCAGCAAUGGUGACCGGCGAACGGGUGCGUAACACGUAAGCGACCUACCGAUUUGAGGGGAUAGCCGGCCCAACGGCCGGGUAAUACCGCAUACGCCAGGCGAGCUUCAUGGCUUGCUUGGGAAACCUCAGGGGCAAAUCGAGGGGCUUGCGGCCUAUCAGCUAGUUGGCGGGGUAAUGGCCCACCAAGGCUACGACGGGUAGC
rnacentral:rRNA from 1 species